UGGGGAAUCUUGCGCAAUGGCCGAAAGGCUGACGCAGCGACGCCGCGUGUGGGAGGACGCCUUUCGGGGUGUAAACCACUGUUGCCCGGGACGAACACGCUCUUUCGAGAGCGCUGACGGUACCGGGUGAGGAAGCACCGGCUAACUCCGUGCCAGCAGCCGCGGUAAUACGGAGGGUGCGAGCGUUGUCCGGAAUCAUUGGGCGUAAAGGGCGCGUAGGUGGCCCGGUCAGUCAGUGGUGAAAGCGCGGGGCUCAACUCCGCGUCGGCCAUUGAUACUGCUGGGCUGGAGCACUGUAGAGGCAGGCGGAAUUCCGGGUGUAGCGGUGGAAUGCGUAGAGAUCCGGAAGAACACCGGUGGCGAAGGCGGCCUGCUGGGCAGUUGCUGACACUGAGGCGCGACAGCGUGGGGAGCAAACAGGAUUAGAUACCCCCGUAGUCC
rnacentral:rRNA from 1 species